rnacentral:rRNA from 1 species
GACGGAGGGUGCAAGCGUUACUCGGAAUUACUGGGCGUAAAGGGUCCGUAGGCGGCUUGGAAAGUUGGAUGUGAAAUCCCACAGCUUAACUGUGGAACUGCGUCCAAAACUAUCAAGCUUGAGUAUGGUAGGGGACAGUGGAACUUCAGGUGGAGCGGUGAAAUGCGUAGAGAUCUGAAGGAACGCCGGUGGCGAAAGCGACUGUCUGGGCCAUUACUGACGCUGAGGGACGAAAGCUAGGGGAGCGAACGGG